rnacentral:rRNA from 1 species
GCCCGCUCAAGAAACUCGAAAGAAGUUGACGGGGCCCGCACAAGCGGCGGAGCAUGUGGAUUAAUUCGAUGCAACGCGAAGAACCUUACCUGGGUUUUGACAUACACCGGAAAACCGUAGAGAUAGGUCCCCCCUUGUGGUCGGUGUACAGGUGGUGCAUGGCUGUCGCCAGCUCGUGUCGUGAGAUGUUGGGUUAAGUCCCGCAACGAGCGCAACCCUUGUCUUAUGUUGCCAGCACGUGAUGGUGGGGACUCGUAAGAGACUGCCGGGGUCAACUCGGAGGAAGGUGGGGAUGACGUCAAGUCAUCAUGCCCCUUAUGUCCAGGGCUUCACACAUGCUACAAUGGCCAGUACAGAGGGCUGCGAGACCGUGAGGUGGAGCGAAUCCCUUAAAGCUGGUCUCAGUUCGGAUCGGGGUCUGCAACUCGACCCCGUGAAGUCGGAGUCGCUAGUAAUCGCAGAUCAGCAACGCUGCGGUGAAUACGUUCCCGGGCCUU